rnacentral:misc_RNA from 1 species
UACGUAGGUGGCAAGCGUUGUCCGGAAUUACUGGGCGUAAAGGGUGCGUAGGCGGCUACUUAAGUCCUGUGUGAAAGGCCCCGGCUCAACCGGGGAGAGCCAUGGGAUACUGGGUAGCUUGAGUACCGGAGAGGGGGGCGGGAUUCCCGGUGUAGCGGUGAAAUGCGUAGAGAUCGGGAGGAACACCAGUGGCGAAGGCGGCCACCUGGACGGUAACUGACGCUGAGGCACGACAGCUGGGGGAGCGAACGGG